GGAUCCCGGCGCGCCUCGGAGAGGGAUGGGUGUCCCUCUGGGCCGCCUGGAAUUUCCAGUUCUGAAUUCGCUCCCAACCAGGUUACCUCCAGGCCGAGUGCUGCAGGUUUGUAGCGAAAUCGAGUGAACUUUCCUGAGUUCGCCGGGUACAAGGGACUAACCUUUGGCAGCACCAGACCGCCGCUUCCCUGUACCCUGUCCCCACCGCGAGCCUAAAGGCCAUGGAAUUUUUGUGCAUCCACAUCUUCAUUUUCUCACUUAUUAGGUAACCGACUCAGUGGAGCACAAACAUGUUUAAAGCUCUCUGUCCUUGAGAUCUGACUUUAUCUUUCACGGACCUCACCCAAGGGCGUUUACCUGGCUCAGACCUGCCUGGUCUUCCUUCCCUCUCUCAGGAGGUCAGGGCCUGUUCUGCCUAGUCCCAGACCAAUGUGGAGGAAGCUCUUGGCAGAUUUGUAUUUCAAACAUCUCACACUCGUAAAACGAAAUGUUCCACUCUUGUGCGUACUUGGAAAAAAACCACAUGCACACUUGGCUGAUUUGUGACUCAAAGUACUCGAUGACGAGUCCCUUUAUUUUUCUGCAAAAUGAAAAAAUAAUUAAGGAUAACGCAAAAUUCUCAUGUUUUGAAGACGUUUCAUUUACAACUAAUGCGAGGUAGAAUACUGGCUCCCGUCGUUACUGCGUUCAUUACUGUGUCAACAGACGGCCCCCUUGGACAAAUGUGUUAUCUUGUAUCCUUCCACCCCAUUCUGUCCUGGUUCAUCCAGAGUUGUGGGUGUGCUCUAGAAUGUUACAGCUGUGUCAGCUCUGCCUUGGGCCAACCCUGAAAAAAGUGGGUUCAGUCUGAGAUCUUUGGGGAUUUGGCCCUGCUCAAGGAGGGAGUUGGGUAUUUCCAUAGAAUGUCAGAUCAUAAGUCCCAGGGAAACAGCCCAAGAUCUCCAAAUCCUUCUGUUCAUGUAUUUCAGAAGCAUCCUGGGCUGAGAUAGAAACCCAGGCCAGACUUUGAGUUUGCUUUGGGUAUUCAGAAAUUCCUGUCAAAAUGAAAUCUGCUCAACCAAGAGGAGGAUGAGUUAGGUUCCAGUUCUGGUGAGUUUUAACAGUAGCUAACCAUACUUGCAGCAACUUAUUUAAACUCCUGGGUCGCCCUUGUGCAGGCAUCGGCUCUGUGAGGUUGACUCUAUGGACUGGACUUUCAUAGUAUCUAAUGUUAUCUAAUUCCUCAAAGUCAACGACUGCUUCCAGCUCCCUAGUUUAAUAGGUUCCCUGAGACAUUACAGUUGAAGACUAAGUAUUUCUGGAAGCAAGAUCUGGAGGAUUAUAAAUAAUUAUAUGUACAUCCUUCCUACUUCGUUCUGUGUUAAAAUAAGAUGGUAGAAAAAUACUCAAGGCAUUUUGCAGUAGAUGAUAGAGAAGAAUCUGGCUGUCAUUAUACUCCGGGGGGAAAAAAGGAAUUACAGAAGAAAAUAAAACAAAAUUCUUCGUGAACAACACUACUGAACAGACUAGGAAGCUGAGGCAAAGGAUGAACAAAUGAGGUUGACAAAACUAGAAAUCCUCCCCGCCCCAGGAUUUCUAUUUUGAAAGACUCAUGAAUAAAAG
rnacentral:lncRNA from 1 species